GGGCUCUCCGGUAUGCUCGCGACUUGCGUCAUUCAGCCCAUCGAUAUGGUCAAGGUGAGGAUUCAGUUGGGUCAGGGCUCGGCAGGCGAGGUAACCAAGAACAUGCUUAAGGCGGAGGGAGUUGGUGCUUUCUACAAGGGUCUCUCUGCUGGGCUUCUUAGACAAGCUACCUAUACCACUGCACGACUUGGAUCUUUCAAGAUUUUGACAAACAAAGCAAUUGAAGCUAAUGAUGGCAAGCCCCUUCCUCUUUAUCAAAAAGCUUUGUGUGGGUUAACAGCUGGUGCAAUUGGAGCAUCUUUUGGCAGUCCAGCAGAUUUGGCGCUUAUCCGAAUGCAGGCUGAUGCUACCCUCCCAGUGGCACAACGCCGUAACUACAAAAAUGCAUUCCAUGCACUAUAUCGUAUUGUUGGA
rnacentral:misc_RNA from 1 species